rnacentral:rRNA from 1 species
UACGGGGGGAGCAAGCGUUGUUCGGAUUUACUGGGCGUAAAGGGCGCGUAGGCGGCGCGACAAGUCACUUGUGAAAUCUCCGGGCUUAACUCUGACAUUGCAGUCGAUACGGGCAGGCUAGAGUUCGGUAGGGGAGACUGGAAUUCCUGGUGUAGCGGUGAAAUGCGCAGAUAUCAGGAGGAACACCGGUGGCGAAGGCGGGUCUCUGGGCCGAUACUGACGCUGAGGAGCGAAAGCGUGGGGAGCGAACAGG